rnacentral:rRNA from 1 species
UGCGUAGGCGGACUAAUAAGUCAGUGGUGAAAUCUUUCGGCUCAACCGAGAAACUGCCAUUGAUACUGUUAGUCUUGAGUUCGGUUGAGGUAGGCGGAAUGUGUAAUGUAGCGGUGAAAUGCUUAGAUAUUACACAGAACACCAAUUGCGUAGGCAGCUUACUAGACCGACACUGACGCUGAGGCACGAAAGCGUGGGGAGCGAACAGGAUUAGAUACCCUGGUAGUCA